AGGACAGGGUGUAGGAAACAAUCACAGAGUGUCAGGGGCUGGAAGGGCCCUGGAAAGCUCAUCCAGUGCAAUCCCCCCAUGGAGCAGGAACACCCAGAUGAGGUUACACAGGAAGGUGUCCAGGCGGGUUGGAAUGUCUGCACAGAAGGAGACUCCACAAUCCCCUGGGCAGCCUGGGCCAGGCUCUGCCACCCUCACUGGGAACAAGUUUCUUCUCAUAUUCAAGUGGAACCUCUUGUGUUCCAGUUUGUACCCAUUGCCCCUUGUCCUGUCACUGGUUGUCACCAGAAGAGCCUGGCUCCAUCCUCCUGACACUCCCCCUUUAUAUACCUGUAAACAUUAGUGAGGUCACCCCUCAGUCCAAGCUCCAGAGCCCCAGCUCCCUCAGCCUUCCCUCGUCUCUCAGCAAAACAUGUUAACGAUUUUGCAAGACUGGGUGUUCUACCUAAAGGCAGGCACAUGGGAUAGGCAAAAAGCCCCUGCUUAUAUCAUGCUAAUCCUGACUGUAAAUUCCUUCCCGUUCCCCAUUAAUUGGGUACUUCAGAUUUUACAGACCACCUGGCCCUGCCUCAGUUUACCGAUCUCAUUCAUCCAAUUCUAACAAUCCCCUCCCCUUACAGAUUUAUUUAAAAUAUGGAUUUCUGGCUCUUCGGUUACCCUUCCCCCUAGCUUAACUUUUUAAAUAUAGGACUCAGUUUGCAUUCUGGAAUUAGUUCGAAGAGACUGUGUUUUAUAUUAAGGAUUCAUAGUCUGAUGUCUCUCAGUCCUUCCCCCUGGCUGGGGUCAGGCACCAGGUCCCCAGUUUUUCAAAACCAGCGUUCCUUCUUCAAGGGGGACGCCCCGCUGUCCCGGGUUUCUGCUCUGGACAAUGAACGCGGCUCCUCUCAGACUCUGUCUGAAUCCCGCAGGAAAACGUUCGCUCCUGGGCUGCGGAGCCUCCCGUGCUCGGCUGCCACCGGAGCUGCCCGCUGGCUCCUGGGGGGAUCCCGGAGCAGCCCUGGGGCACUCUGCCCCCCACACACCGCGGGGCGGGCAGGGGUGGCCGGGGUUGGGGAACAGGCAGCGCCGCCGCCACGACACUCCUUCUGGGUCUCCUCCCGCCACCCCCGCACAUGCGCAGCCAGCACCAAUCAGCGCUGGGCAGGGCGGGCGCUGUUUCCCAGCGUGCCCUUCGGCUUCCUGGUCGCGGCGCCGUUGCUAGGUGACGGCGGGCGGAGGCUGCAGGCCGCGGCCAGGGCCCUGCGCUCAGCGGGGCUGCAGCUCAGGCCGGUGUCGCCCUCCCGACCUGCGGCCUGUCUCUGAGUUUGCUGGGAACAUGGAGCCCUUCUCUCCGCCAGAACCAGAGUUUCCUGCCAAAAAGAGCUCGUCUGCGCCGCAGGAGAAAUACCGUGUCCUGGUGGGAGUGACUGGAAGCGUGGCUGCCCUGAAGCUGCCUCUCCUCGUCACCGAGUUGCUGAAAAUCCCCAGGCUCGAAGUGAAGGUGGUCACUACUGAGAGAGCAAAGCAUUUCUACAAAGCCGAGGAGAUUCCUGUCACCCUCUACAGUGACGAAGAUGAGUGGCGGCUGUGGAACGGCCGUUCGGACCCAGUCCUGCACAUCGAGCUCAGACGGUGGGCUGACCUUAUGCUGGUGGCACCUCUUGAUGCAAAUACGCUGGCAAAGCUGGCGAACGGCAUCUGUGACAACCUGUUGACUUGUGUCAUCCGCGCCUGGGAUCUGAGCAAACCUCUGCUCUUCUGCCCAGCCAUGAACACGGCCAUGUGGGAACAUCCCCUCACAGCUCAGCAGGUGGAGCAGCUGAAAGGCUUUGGCUACACAGAGAUCCCCUGCGUGGUGAAGAAACUGGUGUGUGGAGAUGAAGGGCUGGCUCAGUUUCUGAAUUCUUAGGAAGAUGCAGUGCUCCUGGAGAAUGUUUUUUUUGGAGCUGAAGACCAAGAAAUAUUUACAGUUAGGUUCAUGCACCUGCGGCAGAGCUGUGGUGUUGUCAUCCCCGUUUCACAGACGGGGAUCUAGGCUGCGAAAGGGCCACAUGAGUUGACUCACCAGCAUGGAUGGAUGUCGAGUUGGAUGGUGAACGCGAUUUCCACCUUCUGCUGCUCUGCCCUGCGCUGCCCUGCCCCUCUCCUGGGGGCUGCUGCCCUUGUGACAGGGGGGUGUGAGCCGCGUGAGGCAGCACGUGAAUUGCUGUGGUUUGCAGCUCAAAGUGGCAAAGUAAACUGGUGUUUAUUGGGAGUGACCUCAUUCCGCCGCCGGUUAUUUGGGAGCUGUUUCAGGUCGAGGUGCCAUGGCAGAAGUGGGGACCAUUGUGGAGAGCGUGAAAAAGAUCCUUGGAGAACGGGACUUGCCAGCGCAGAACUAAUGGUUUGGCGUGUAAAUUGUAUUUGUGUGCCUCCCUGAUGAUUUGAAGAUAAACCCAACAGGAAGCUGAGUCGAGACGGCGCGCAGACCCGUCGUGUGCUCUUCAACCGAAGGAGUGAAACGGUCGUCUUCCAGCUGGUGCCAAACUUGAAAUGUGGUACAUCACUGCAGGCUUACAGAAACCAAAGCCAAGAACACGUUUCUUUAGUGUGGGGAAACUCUGUGGUGUCUUGUAGAGAGGGAGUAACGUUCCCCCAGGCCACUCGGCCGCAGGUAUUUCACAUGUGCUCGUCUCUGAGGAGGCUGCAGAAAGAGCUGCCAAUGGAUUUCUGCUCCUGUGGUUCCCUCGAGGGAUGCUAGAGAGGUGAGAGCUGUGCAAGUCAUGGUGAUGGGGAUUAUGCCAGCCCUUUCCAGCCUGUCGGCUCCAGAGCUGCCUGGCUUCACCUUUCCAGCAGGAGUCACUGUCCAAAAAGCAUUUUCCCUUCAGGAACUUAAUAAAAAAACCGCUUUUAAUUCCAUCUCUGAAGAAUUGCCUCUUGUAGCUGCUCUGGGGGGAAGCUGUGCCUGACAUAAUUGUUAAAUCAUUGUGUCUGCAAGCUCAUUUUCUCAGAAAUGGGGAAAAAAAUGGCUAAAAGCAGCUUAGCCUUUGCGCUUUUGUGUCUGUUGACUUGGAUAGGGAUGCAGAAUGUCAACUGUGACCCAAACCAACACCUGCCUGUCUGGGUGUUCCCGUCAGGAAAUUAGCAGGCUGGGCCCUCAAGGGAAAGCCAGGGUGGGUGUUUCCCAAGGGAGCGAAGUCAAACUUUGCUGAUGACGGUCCUUUUUGGCUUGAAAAUUAACUGACUGGCAUGAAAAAAUUGGGAAAUCCUGUGACCUCCUGGGCCAGAUCAGCUGGGGAUUUCCCAGUCCAGCCUUUCCUUGGAAACAUGAUCCCACUCUGGGGGGGAAUGGGAGCGAACUGGGACUGUGGAACACGUCGCUAUAGCAGAGCACAAAGAAAGUUUCUUUUUAACUAGACCCAGGCAAAUUUAAGGCCUUCAGUACAGAACGUGCAUCUCGCCUAUGGGGGCAACCUUCAGACUUCUGUGCACUAGGUAAUAGGUUAUCGGGGUGUGUUUGCUUUCCUUAUCCAUUCCACACAAAUAAAAGCCUCUGAACUUUCA